AUGAACAAAAAUAAAGGAGUAAACAGAACUGACCAUAAGAGAUGUGUAGGACAUGCUCAAAAAGUCUAAUAUGUGUUUUGAAUCUCACAAGGAGAAAAGAAAAAGAAUAGGACAAAAGCAAUAUUUGAAGACAUAAUGACUGAGAAUUUUCCAAAUAUGAUGAAAGACAUCAAGUCACAGAUUCAAGAAUAUCAAUGAGCUCUAAGCAGGGUAAGUGUAAAGAAAACUAUGCAUAGGCCCAUCAUAGUUAAACUUCUGAAAAUUCAGACAAAGCAUAAAAUCUUAAAAGCAAAAAUAAAUAAAUAUGGUUAUAUAUUUUAUUUAGUUAGUUAGUUAUUUAGUUAUUUAUUUAUUUAGUUAUUUUGAGAGAGAGUGUGUGUGGGAGGGGUAGAGAGAGAGAGAAUACCAAGCAGGAUCUGUACUAUCAUGCAGCGCUCAAACUCAUGAACCGUGAGAUCAUGACCGGAGCUGAAGUCGAUUUAGAGCCACCCAGGUACCCCUAAAGCAACCGUAUUUUUAAACAGAGACAGACAGAGUAUCAACAAUACAAUUGGUGGCUAUGGAGGCCAGAAGACAAUGAAAUGACAUUUUUAAAGUGCUAACAGAAAAAAACCCUGUCAAUUUAGUCUAUACCCAGCAAAAUAUUCUUCAAAAAUGAAGGCAAAAUAAAUGUGUCCAGAUGACAAAAAUUGAAAGAAUUUGGUUUGUUAGUAGUACACAUCUCUACUACAAGAAUUUUUUUUUUUUUUUUUUUAGGAUUUUAUAUUUAAGUAACCUCUACACCCAAUGUGUGGCCUAAACCCACAAUCUUGAGAUCAAGAGUCACAUGCUCCACUGACUGAGCCAGCCAGGUUCCCUAGAAGAAAUUCUUAUGGAGUUCUAUAGGCUGAAAGAAAAUGAAUUCUGAUGGAAUUGCAGGAAGGAAUGAAGACUAUGGCAAAGGGUCCUCUCCCCUCCCCAGAGAAAGGCGAUGGUACCAAAAGUUCCAGCUCUGAUCAUAGGACAGAUUCCUCUGGCAACCAGCCCCCAUCCGCCAGGAGUCACCCUAAUGGCAUAAACUCAGGUACCAAGGAAAGGAGUCUAUUGUGAAUAACAAAAGACCCUCCACUCAACCUGUUUCUCCAGAAAUUCCAAGGAUUUUAGGAGCUCUGUGCCCAGAACAGGGAGGAAGACCAAACACACGUUACUUAUUAUAUCGCAGUAUCACAACUGGGAAGCUGUCAAACUCACGAUGGUUGAUACAAAUUUUCCAAAAUUCUCACUUUUGCUUGGGAGCUCAAACUUUAUAAGCAACAAAUACUGCCAGUGGUUUCUUGAGUGACAGCCUCACUUCAAAUCAAUG